ACUCCUACGGGAGGCAGCAGUGGGGAAUAUUGCGCAAUGGACGAAAGUCUGACGCAGCGACGCCGCGUGGAGGAUGAAGGUUUUCGGAUCGUAAACUCCUGUCAAGAGGGAAGAAACCUAUCAUGAAUAAUACUUAUGGUAAUUGACGGUACCUCUAGAGGAAGCACCGGCUAAUUCAGUGCCAGCAGCCGCGGUAAUACUGAAGGUGCAAGCGUUAAUCGGAAUCACUGGGCGUAAAGCGCUCGUAGGUGGCUUUGUAAGUCAGGUGUGAAAGCCCACGGCUCAACCGUGGAAUUGCACUUGAUACUGCAUCGCUAGAGUAUAGGAGAGGGAAGUGGAAUUUCUGGUGUAGGAGUGAAAUCCGUAGAGAUCAGAAGGAACACCCGUGGCGAAGGCGACUUCCUGGACUAUUACUGACACUGAGGAGCGAAAGCGUGGGGAGC
rnacentral:rRNA from 1 species